rnacentral:rRNA from 1 species
GGGUCAGUAGGUUGGUCGUGCCACCGGUACGUACUGGUCUCACUGAUUCCUCCUUCCUGAAGAACCGUAAUGCCAUUAAUUUGGUGUUGCGGGGAAACAGGACUGUUACUUUGAAUAAAUUAGAGUGUUUAAAGCAAGCUAACGCUUGAAUACAUUAGCAUGGAAUAAUGAAAUAGGACGAUCGAUCCUAUUUUGUUGGUUUCUAGGAUUGACGUA